GCAGACUGAGCAUUUAGAUAUAUAUAUAUAUAGAAGGAUCCUAUGCGGACAGGGGCCGCUUCGGCAUGAGCUUUCCGUUCCAAGUGCCACAUAAAAUAUCAUAGCAUAUGGGCGCCUCCCGGGAGCGCGCAGAGCUGGCCAGCCACCGUGCAGCCGUCGUACCUUGAUGCUGGCCGCCGGGCUAAAGCUUGGGGUUCAGGUCUGCGGCGUCCGCGGCGACGUCGCUGGAGAUGAGGUUCAGGUUCCUGGGGGACGGCAGGCCGGCGACCACGUCUUCUUCGAUCCCGCACUCGUUCCUCCCCCUUGCGAUCUUGAAGUAGCCGUCCUGCACAGAGGAGUUGAAGAAGAUCAGACGAGAACGAGAAGAAAGCGGGGACGGGCGGGUGGGGGUCUACUCACGUCGCCCCAGCCUCGGUUCCACUGGUUCGCGAGGAGCUGCGGGUAGAAGGAGAAAGGAUUAAAUGGCGGCGAUUCAAAGGAGGAGGGACAAGAAGCCGCGCCAGGCGAGGGUGAAGAGGCCAACCCAGUAGUCCUCGCCACUCUCGCUCGUCCCCCAUCCGAUGAGCUUCACGGCAUGGCCGCCGAUGGACUCACCGGUUAUGUGCCUGUACACGCCCGACUUGUAAUGAGCGAAGUCCUGCGGAGAGCAAGGUUGGGAACGUUGUUAGCACCGCGGCCAGCUCAGUGAUCAGCAGUCGGAUGGCUAAGAAGCAACGAGAAGCGGAGGUAUGUAUUCUGUGAUGGCGCAGCAAAAUUAAUCGCCGAGUCUCUCUCGUCCGCGUCCGAGAACAGAAGAAAGAGCAGAGCUCAAGACGGGAUUGUGAAUGAUACUCGUUAGACAUCAUCAGCGACAGAAAUCUCAUUGGGAAUCUGUAAAUCGUGCUUAGAACGAUGCAAUGAUAUUUCUUGAACCCGAUGAAUGUUACAGAAAACACCUGGCAUUGUCGAGUAACACACGAAAAUCUUAAGAUUGACAGGAAAAGUUAUGAACAAUGAGCUGGACUCAUACGUGACAAGAAACGUUCAGUGCAUUAGAUUUCGAACCAAAAAAAGGGAUGAGGAAGCAUAAUAAAUAUAGGGUAAUAAGUUUCCUUGAUCAUCGCAGAUGAAGAAACUCAAAAGGAUGCGUUCAGGGUCAUAUUAAUCCCCCUAGGGUAUGCAAUGUAAUAAACAGUACUCGCGAAAAAGAGCUCAUUUAAGUCACUAAAGGGUGUGAAUCAACCCCACCUUCUUUUCGAGAAAAAUAUCUUAAAUUUUCAAAACAUAAUGACACAAAUUCGUUAAUUUCUUUCAAUCUGAGGUGAAUUUUACGAGUUCAUCAGCCCACAAAAACCCUGCAGACAGAACAAAAGCUGGGCCACAUUGACUGUAAUUUUUUCCUUUCUUUUUUACGAGAGAAAAAAAGUACCCUAUGUAUUGACGGAGAAGGGCAUUUCCAUAACAAGCUCAUAUUUAACGGACCACAGGAAUCCUCAUGUUCAGCGUACGGCUUUUACUGACCCCUUAAAGCAUAUAUGGGCGGAAUAACGCCCGACGAUUCAAUGCCUCAUAAGUGUUCCGAGGACGGCAAACAGGAGAACACGUCAAGAAGCUCGCAAAGAGUAAAUUAAGAUUUCAGUCGUUAGGCUGAAUAACAAUGCUACGAUUGAGUUCUUCACUGCAAGAAAAGUGAUCGCGAGCUGAUUAUCAUGCAAAAUUUCCACGUUGCAUGACGCAGGUAGAUUAUAUAACAUUUUCCUGCUCUUCGUGGAAAACAUACUCCAAUCAAAUGGAAACUGUAAGAAAAAUAUCGUUGAGCGACAAUAAACUUUUACCACUUUGAAACUGGGCCGGAUAAAUCGGCGAUGUGAUUUUUUUAAAAAAGGAAUUUUAAAAGGAGCUAGUCGCUUGCAAUUACCUCAUAAACAGUGAAGGCAACUUCCACUGGACCGUUCUUAUAAAGUUCAGCCAUGAUAUCAUACUGAUCGAAGCUCACUUUGUAUGCAUUGACACUGAAGUGUUUGGACUCCGGCCAUACUUGGUUCCCGGACUUGCAUUUCUUUUCACACGUUGGGGUUGGAUACAACGGUUCGCAACCAGGAUGGGAGCAUCCGAUCUGGUCAAAGUAAGGAUCGCACUACAAAAACAGAGACCAUUCCAUGGUGAGUGGAUCAAGUGUCAGAUCCCCUCCAGUCCAACAGGAGGACGAGUUGAAAAACCCAGCAAAGAGGGUUCCACUCUACAGUCAUUCCAGUCGAGGCCCAGCGGAAGAACUUAGAGAAAGUGGCCAAAAUUAUAUACGAGGGCAAAGGUGAAGAAUAAAUAUCUUAGGCUUGCCCCAAU
rnacentral:lncRNA from 1 species